rnacentral:rRNA from 1 species
CCUACGGGAGGCAGCAGUAGGGAAUAUUGCUCAAUGGGGGAAACCCUGAAGCAGCAACGCCGCGUGGGGGAUGAAGGUUUUCGGAUUGUAAACUCCUUUUGUUAGAGAAGAUAAUGACGGUAUCUAACGAAUAAGCACCGGCUAACUCCGUGCCAGCAGCCGCGGUAAUACGGAGGGUGCAAGCGUUAAUCGGAAUCACUGGGCGUAAAGAGCGCGUAGGCGGGAUAGCAAGUCAGAUGUGAAAUCCUAUGGCUUAACCAUAGAACUGCAUUUGAAACUGUUAUUCUGGAGUAUGUGAGAGGUAGGUGGAAUUCUUGGUGUAGGGGUAAAAUCCGUAGAGAUCAAGAGGAAUA